rnacentral:tRNA from 1 species
AUGGUCUAGUAGUUAAGGCGUUAGACUUAAAACCUAGUGGAUUAGUAUCCCUGUGGGUUCGAACCUCACU